ensembl:lncRNA
CCCGCGGUUGUGGGUUUCCACAUCACCAUUCAAGAACACAAGCCGGCCCCUGGGUAGAGUUGUAAACUGUUUACAGCUCAACACCACGUCACCAUUCACAAGCCGUUCUCGUCGUCUUCUUUCACCAGGUCAUACACAAGCGCGUCCUCUUCCAAAACAGUUCAGUACACAGGGAGUAGUCAGCCAGUCCAGGUUAAUCCAGGAAGUCCAGAUAAGGCUCGAGGUUGAGCCAUCUGGCCGCAAGAUACCUCCCCUCCAUCACCAACCCCCUCACCUCUCCUUUCAUUCACCCUGGAUUCCCGUCACUCCCGCCUGGCAACUUGAACCUCUCCCCCACGUCACGACAUCACCGGAUGUCCCCCUUGUCCAAUAAAUACUCACCUUGUCACGAUCUACCUUGCAUAGUUUACAUUUGGGUUCACACUGGAGUUGUGACACCAAUGCUGUUUACUGGACAUGUUAUUUUUUGCGUUUUGUGUUUUUAUUCUGAAGCGCAGAGGCUGC